ACAAACACUGCAAACUUGCUGCCCCUGCAGAAACGCACAGUUUCGGGCGCCAGAAACCAUAUUCUAGGCAUCCUAAACCUUCAGGCUGCACAAAUAUUCCUCAUCGAUUCCUCCGCCUGCGUUGUGCUGCGCCCGAAACCUGGUCCGGCGGAUCUCACCUACCACCAACCACGUGUCAACUCAAACGAUAUUCACGAGGUGAACUUUCGGACCCACAACCGGGCGCCCGAAACCAGGAUCCGAAUUGGCUUCCAGUUCAGUUC
rnacentral:lncRNA from 1 species